UAAGGAAUAUUGGACAAUGGCCGCAAGGCUGAUCCAGCCAUGCCGCGUGCAGGAUGACAGAGCUCUGCUCCGUAAACUGCUUUUACUUGGGAAAAAACCCCUGCUUUCCAGCGGGGCUGAUUGUACCGAGAGAAUAAGGGACGGCUAACUUCGUGCCAGCAGCCGCGGUAAUACGAAGGUCCCAAGCGUUAUCCGGAUUUAUUGGGUUUAAAGGGUGCGUAGGCGGCUUAUUAAGUCAGUGGUGAAAGCCCCAAGCUUAACUUGGGAAUUGCCAUUGAUACUGAUGAGCUUGAGUAGAUUUGAGGCGGGCGGAAUGUGUCGUGUAGCGGUGAAAUGCUUAGAUAUGACACAGAACACCGAUUGCGCAGGCAGCUCGCUAAACUCUUACUGACGCUGAGGCACGAAAGCAUGGGGAUCAAACAG
rnacentral:rRNA from 1 species